CGCCGCCUCAUGCUGUAACAAACGUGCCGUACCGCAGCCGGGACCUCACGCCUUCCCUGGGUGCCGCCGCCUCGUGCUGUAACAAACGUGCCGUACCGCAGCCCGGACCUCACGCCUUCCCUGGGUGCCGCCGCCUCGUGCUGUAACAAACGUGCCGUACCGCAGCCCGGACCUCACGCCUUCCCUGGGUGCCGCCGCCUCGUGCUGUAACAAACGUGCCGUACCGCAGCCGGGACCUCACGCCUUCCCUGGGUGCCGCCGCCUCGUGCUGUAACAAACGUGCCGUACCGCAGCCGGGACCUCACGCCUUGCCUGGGUGCCGCCGCCUCGUGCUUGUCCUGCCCUUGUGGGGCCACAGUGCCCAGAGUGCAAAUCGCACAGCUGUGGCGGUGCUGCCGCCAGGCAUUCGUAGUCUCCUGUUGCUUCUGUGGCCUGAAUUGCUUCCAGUCAGCAAGAAUUGUUCCCAAACGUCAUCCCCUCUGGAGCUCGGAGGAUAUUACUUGAGAAGCGCUUAUGGAGCACUUUUGCUGCUCAAGAAAUUCCAGGAAAAACAAGCUGCCCAGCUAUCAGUGCACCAGAAAAGCUGACCAGUCUGUCAGCAUCCUGUUACAGGGACCCUUCAUUGAGCAGUCCUGCUGGAUUGGAGGGAAGUCUGACUGACAUUCACGGAAAUAGGCCAAGAACGUAAUGGAGACCCCUCAGCAGGUCUUUCCACUUUAUGACCUCUCAGUAGGACUUCUUAUUUGAAUAUGUUACCUGCUGCUGGCAACUGCUAGCAUCCAUGAAGGAGUCACACUUUGGAAUUUUAUAGAACAGUUUAUGGAACUAUGCUUUUUAUGAAAUUGUGACAGGUUAAGGUUCAGGAAUUGUUGGUGAUGGUAUCUGUCAGUGAUAGUAUUUGACUGCAAAAACUCACUCAAAGCAAUAUACGGAGAAGUUGUAGUCCCCAAUAAAAAUAUUCAGCAGGCA